rnacentral:lncRNA from 1 species
UUUAGAAGUUUUGCAGGAGAUAAGUAAAAUUUAGCUCUUACCGCUUAUAUAACUGAAUUUUCUUCUGUGUCAAGCAUUUUCUUUUUCCAAUUCUCAGGAUGCAGCAAAUUCAACAUUUAUCUCCUCAGCAACAGCAACUGGUCCUGCAACAGCCACAGACAGCUGUGCAGCAACAACUGUUACAGCAACGCAUCCUCCUUCAACACCAGCAGCAGCAACAACGAUUUGCUGCUGUUCCAGCUCAAUGGCGACCCCAAGGGACAAAUAUGAAUGCCCCUCAGCGCCAUUUAAUCCAUGUUGAUGCAAAGGCUCAUGCCCAGUUACGGCAAAUGGAUCCAACUUUAAGGACAAUUUUUCUUCAACGAAUUAAUAAGCAGCAACAAGCCAUUUAUCAACAGCAGUUGCAGGUAAUCAAUGGUUAUAUUUUACAAAGAAGUCAUGUGAGCCUCUACUUGACGAGAAAUUAUUUGAGUAACAGUCCAUUUUUAAAAGUUCUCAUCCGAAUCAUUGUGUUUUCAAGAUAUGUUUAUCGGUUAAAAUUUUCACAAUGAAUGCCUUUACACGUUCAAAAAAAUUUCAGGAUUCAGCAUAUUCAUAACGAUAGUUAAAACUGUAAAAAGUUAUGGCCUCCUUACAGUCAAUCCUCUCGCACAACCCCCCUCUCUCUAACAAAUAGAGAUUUUUUUAAAAAAAUUCUCUCCCCC